UACCUUUGUGGGUCGUUAAAAAACGAAUUACAUAAUAAUCAUUAAAAUAAUAUUUGCAUG
rnacentral:ncRNA from 1 species